rnacentral:misc_RNA from 1 species
GAUGAAGAACGUAGCGAAAUGCGAUACGUAGUGUGAAUUGCAGAAUUCAGUGAAUCAUCGAAUCUUUGAACGCACAUUGCGCCCAUUAGUAUUCUAGUGGGCAUGCCUGUUCGAGCGUCAUUUCAACCCUUAAGCCCCUGUUGCUUAGCGUUGGGAGCCUACAGCCUGCUGUAGUUCCUCAAAGUUAGUGGCGGAGUCAGUUCACACUCUAGACGUAGUAAAAUCUUUAUCUCGCCUAUAGAUGAGCUGGCGCCUUGCCGUAAAAACCCCUAAUCUUUUACAAGGUUGACCUCGGAUCAGGUAGGAAUACCCGCUGAACUUAAGCAUAUCAAUAAGCGGAGGA